rnacentral:rRNA from 1 species
CCUACGGGAGGCAGCAGUGGGGGAUAUUGCACAAUGGGGGAAACCCUGAUGCAGCGACGCCGCGUGUGGGAAGACGGUCCUCUGGAUUGUAAACCACUGUCCCCAGGGACGAAGAUGACGGUACCGGGGGAGGAAGCUCCGGCUAACUACGUGCCAGCAGCCGCGGUAAUACGUAGGGAGCGAGCGUUGUCCGGAAUUACUGGGUGUAAAGGGAGCGAAGGCGGGACUGCAAGUUGGGUGUCAAAUCUACCGGCUCAAGCGGUAGCCGCACUCAAAACUGCAGUUCUUGAGUGAAGUAGAGGCAGGCGGAAUUCCUAGUGUAGCGGUGAAAUGCGUAGAUAUUAGGAGGAACACCAGUGGCGAAGGCGGCCUGCUGGGCUUUUACUGACGCUGAGGCUCGAAAGUGUGGGGAGCAAACAGGAUUAGAUACCCCGGUAGUC